UACAGAGGAGCCAAGCGUUGUCCGGAUUGACUGGGCGUAAAGCGCACGCAGGCGGACGCGCGCGUGGGGUGUGAAAUCUGGCCGCUUAACGGCCAGGCGCCAUCCCAUACGGCGCGUCUGGAGCAAUGCAGAGGUCGGUGGAAUUGCCGGUGUAGUGGUGAAAUGCGUAGAGAUCGGCAGGAACACCCAGGGGAAACCGAGCCGACUGGGCAUUGCUGACGCUGGAGGUGCGAGAGCGUGGGGAGCGAACCGGAUUAGAAACCCGUGUAAGCUCCAGACCCAAUCGUC
rnacentral:rRNA from 1 species